CCCAGCGCAGCCAUAUUUAUUUAAUUUUUUUUUAUAAAAAGCUAAACAAAUUCCUUUAAAAAAAAAAGAGUGAAGAGGAUUGACUUCAGGCUUUCCCCAAGCUUGGAAAGAAGCCUGACGGAUUUGACUUGAUUAAUCCAACGUGACCUGGCCUGCUCAGUGUCCUGGAGUGGUGGGUCGCGGUGGUUUCAGGGGCUCAUCAAAAAUCCCCUUCUCCUGUUGACCUGGAGGAAAGACCCGGAAGACCCGUCCCCGUGAGGACGGCACCGCCUCGGGAGCGGAAGUGGCAGUGUGGAGGCGGCCGGCCGACACUCGGUCUGAAGGCCGGGCCAGGCAGCGGGAGAGGACGGCGGAGGACGGCGGGAAUCCACUGGGGCAACGGAGGAGGUGAAAUUAAACCUAAGAACUCAGAGGAUACUCGGAAUGGAAGUGGGCUUCUUUGAACAUCUCCCUCCAGAGCGGAUGCUGUAGAUGCUCCCUCCCAGCAGAUGCUGGGUCCAUGGCUCCGGAGCAGACGCUACAAAUCUUUGCUGACUUACCCACUAAGUCACAUUGACCCUAUGGACUAUGGCCCGCCAGGCGCCUCUGCCCAUGGGAUUCUCCAGGCAAGAAUACUGGAGUGGUUUGCCGUGCCCUCCUCCAGGGGAUCUUCCGACCCAGGAACCGAACCUGUAUCUCCUGAACUGCAGGCAGAUUCUUUACCACUGAGCCACCAGGGAGAGAAGUAGAUUCCACACCUUAUGAUGUGGUUCCAUUUCUUCUUGACAGUCAAAACAACAGAAGAAAAUCUUAUUGUGUAAAUCCUGUUAAUGAAAAAAACCACAGGCCCCAGAUUGUGUCACCUGUGCUAACACCCAUGAUACCAAACCUAGACCCAGCUGCAGGUUCAACCUUUUCCAAGUGUACAGCAAGGAGAAUCAGUUAAAAUUGGGCAGUCUGGAACCUUUUGGCCCACACCACUGAGGGCCCCCGGGACUUCUCCACCAUUAGCACCAAGCCCCACUUCAAGGGAAGAAGAGGCUUAUCACAGAAUAUGGAGUAGAGUUCCCUAUGCUGUACAGUAGAUUCUUGUUGGUUGUCUAUUUUAUGUAUAAUUGUGUAUGUUCGUCCCAAGCUUCUGUUUUAUCCCUACUCUCUUUGUUGUUUAGUCGCUAAACUGUGCCCAACUCUUUUGUGACUCCAUGGACUGCAGCCCACUGGGCUCCUCUGUGGGAUUUCCCAGGCAAGAAUACUGGAGUGGGUUGUCACUUCCUUUUUCAUCCCUCCCCUUUAAUUCAGUGUUAAUUUCAAAUGUUCCCUUAGUGGAAACAUUUUUUUUUUAAAUUUUA